ensembl:lncRNA
CAAUAAAGAUCUUGCUGAUGCUGAAAGAAUUUUGUUUCAUACAUAAAUCAAUCAAGGUUUUUGAACGAAUUUUUUUUUUGUUGUUUUUUUAUCAGUCACUUGUUGUCGCCACCUGUGAAUAUUACACGUUACGUUUUUAUUGGAAGCGUCAAGUCACUUGUGACUGAAAAAAGUGAUUUACUGUAUUUUGAUCACUACAGUAGACAAGUGUUUACAUCCAAGCUAUGUUAUCCCAGUACUUCUGGGAUUAUUAUUUUAUACAUAGCUACAUUACCUGCUUUCUCUGGGUCUGCAGCAGCAAUGUUACAGUGUAGGAAAAAAAGAUUGCGGGUGAUUGAAUCUGUUCAAGAUCUGACGAUUUAAAUAUACAAAACAUAAAAUGAACAUUAAACUGCGUUUAGUGGAAUAAACAUAAGCGAUAAUCUACACAGCCAACAGCGCAGACUGCUUUUCAUAACGGAUAGAUUUCUAGUACUUGGAGAACAAAUUUAAAUUUAUAAAACACAUUUUAUUUGUGAAGUGAAGAUUAUGGGCACAAUGACUUUUUCUCCGGUCCAGCACGAUCAAAAAACAAACAAACAAACAAACAAAACUAAAUUGGGCGGGAACCCGCCCGGGAACCCGCCCAAGCUGCCAACACUGUAUACUUCUUAGAAUGCGCAUGAAAGCAUAUUAUAGUGUAUUAUUACGUCACACGCGAGAAUUCCUACAAACGCGCUUUCAGUUGACUGAGAAUCCGUCCAGUAGCGAAGACGAUCAAUCACCUGAGCAGAUUUUACCAACAUACAGAAAAUAUAAUUUUCAUACAAAAACGGGCUGGAGUCAGUGGAGCUCAAUUCCAGCAGUUCACUGUCUGCAGAUCCUCAGCUGAUGUUGCGUAACCUUAACUCUACACAGACAGCUGGAAACACUAGAGCCCAGCAAAAAAGCAAACCAAAAUGAGGAAGAUGAAAGGCACGUGUGCAUUCUUCCAGCAAACAUGGAGGGCUGUGAAGUGUACAGUCCUGUAUUGCUACAGGGGCAACAAAGUAGACCCAGAGCAAUUCAGUUUCAAGCCAGUGGCUCAGCAAGAUCAAGCUGAUCCUCAGCCAGGUCCCUCCGGCCUCGGUUUAGAGUUAAUGACUGACCCUGACCCAUCUGGUCUCAAGUCUGAGUUAACAGCUGUCCCAGGUGCACCCAGUGUCGAGAUGACACGUACCACCGAUCCAGCUGAUCCUGAGCCUUUCUCUGUCUCGUGUCCAUCCAGUCUCCAGCUGACACCUGACAACAAUCCAACCAGUCCUGAUCCAUUAUCUGUACCACCUCCAUCCAGCCUUGAGCCAAUGGCUCCCCAAGAUCUGGCUGAUCCCCAGCCAGGUGCAUCCAAUCUUGAGCUGACACAUCAUACCGAUCAGGUUGAUUCUCAGCCGGUGAAUGUCUCAUGUCAGUCCAAUCAUGAGCUGACACCUGAUUCCGAGCCAGAACCUGCCCCAGGUCCAUCUGGCCUUCAUGCGGCGUUAACACCACUUCCGGGUCCAGCUGCCGGAUCAUUUUUCUCCCUUUAUGAUGUGGGAGUGUCACUGGGAUCAGGACAUUUUGGCACUGUGUAUGAGGGGAACCGUAGAUCUGAUGGCCAGAAGGUAAAUGACUAUGGUUUUAUUCAUCAAACAUUUUGCCAGUUGUUCAUUUUCUUUUACAGUUAUUUCUACUAUUACAGGCUGAAAAAAAGUUGUUAG